UACGUAGGGGGCGAGCGUUGUCCGGAUUUAUUGGGCGUAAAGAGCUCGUAGGCGGCUUGGCAAGUCGGGUGUGAAACCUCCAGCUCAACCUGGAGACGCCACUCGAUACUGCCAUGGCUAGAGUCCGGUAGGGGACCACGGAAUUCCUGGUGUAGCGGUGAAAUGCGCAGAUAUCAGGAGGAACACCGGUGGCGAAGGCGGUGGUCUGGGCCGGCACUGACGCUGAGGGAAGCGAAAAGCGUGGGGUAG
rnacentral:rRNA from 1 species